AAUUAGGCUUUCAUGAAAGCCACCGGAUAGUCCUUAUAAAAAAAUA
rfam:Homo sapiens chromosome 10, GRCh38 reference primary assembly.